ACUUGUACAGAAGGUAGGGGCAAAUGCUUUUCAUUUCAAAAAACUGAAAUUUAUCAUUAUUUCACAGAAAAUGUGCUCUCACUGGCCAGAGUAAGUCCUGUAAACACAGAAUUAAAUUAGGGGACUCAAGCAACUAUUAUUAUAUUUCUCCUUUUUGCAGAUACAGGAUCACUUCUGUAUGUAACUUUUUUACAUACAUUCGAUACAUUCAGCAGGGACUCGUGAAACAGCAGGAUGUUGAUCAGAUGUUUUGGGAGGUUAUGCAGUUGAGAAAAGAGAUGUCAUUGGCAAAGCUGGGUUAUUUCAAAGAGGAACUCUGAUGCUCUGCGUGGGACCAUGCCUGAACUCCCCGAAUAACUGAAAAAUGGCUGAAUAUUUUUAUGGUUACUUGAUAUUUAUUUCCAAGGAGUGAGCCUAAGACUUUUUUCCCCUUUUGCAAAUUGCUCUAAGAAGUACCAUGAUUUCUUUUAAACUGAUCUAUGCUGUGUUUGCUUAUUCUUUAGUUGAACACACUAUGAAGAAUUCCAGGUGUACUAGUGAAUGUAAUUUAUAGUUGCC
rnacentral:lncRNA from 1 species